AGUCGAGCGGAAAGGCCCUUCGGGGUACUCGAGCGGCGAACGGGUGAGUAACACGUGAGUAACCUGCCCUAGGCUUUGGGAUAACCCUCGGAAACGGGGGCUAAUACCGGAUAUGACUUCCUGUCGCAUGGUGGGGAGUGGAAAGUUUUUCGGCCUGGGAUGGACUCGCGGCCUAUCAGCUUGUUGGUGGGGUAAUGGCCUAACCAAGGCGACGACNGGGUAGCCCGCCUGAGAGGGCGACCGGCCACACUGGGACUGAGACACGCCCCAGACUCCUACNGGAGGCAGCAGUGGGGAAUAUUGCACAAUGNGCGAAAGCCUGAUGCAGCGACACCGCGUUGAGGGAUGACAGCCUUCAGGUUGUAAACCUCUUUCAGCNAGGGAACGUAAGCGAUGAGUGUACGGUACCUGCAGAAGAAGCGCCGGCCAACUACGUGCCAGCAGCCGCGGUAAGACGUAGGGCGCGAGCGUUGUCCGGAUUUAUUGGGCGUAAAGAGCUCGUAGGCGGCUNGUUGCGUCGACCGUGAAAACCCGGGGCUUAACUUCGGGCUUGCGGUCGAUACGGGCGGGCUAGAGUUCGGUAGGGGAGACUGGAAUUCCUGGUGUAGCGGUGAAAUGCGCAGAUAUCAGGAGGAACACCGGUGGCGAAGGCGGGUCUCUGGGCCGAUACUGACGCUGAGGAGCGAAAGCGUGGGGAGCGAACAGGAUUAGAUACCCUGGUAGUCCACGCCGUAAACGAUGAGUGCUAAGUGUUAGAGGGUUUCCGCCCUUUAGUGCUGCAGCUAACGCAUUAAGCACUCCGCCUGGGGAGUACGGCCGCAAGGCUGAAACUCAAAGGAAUUGACGGGGGCCCGCACAAGCGGUGGAGCAUGUGGUUUAAUUCGAAGCAACGCGAAGAACCUUACCAGGUCUUGACAUCCUCUGACACUCCUAGAGAUAGGAUUUUCCCCUUCGGGGGACAGAGUGACAGGUGGUGCAUGGUUGUCGUCAGCUCGUGUCGUGAGAUGUUGGGUUAAGUCCCGCAACGAGCGCAACCC
rnacentral:rRNA from 1 species